rnacentral:rRNA from 1 species
AGAGUUUGAUCCUGGCUCAGGAUUAACGCUGGCGGCGUGCCUAAUACAUGCAAGUCGAACGGAAACCUUCGGGUUUUAGUGGCGAACGGGUGAGUAACACGUAAGCAACCUACCCUAAAGACGAGGAUAACCAUUGGAAACAGUGGCUAAGACUGGAUAGGAAGAUAAAAGGCAUCUUUUAUCUUUUAAAAGACCUAGUAACAGGUAUGCUUUAGGAGGGGCUUGCGCCAUAUUAGUUAGUUGGUAGGGUAAUGGCCUACCAAGACGAUGAUGUGUAGCUGGACUGAGAGGUUGAACAGCCACAUUGGGACUGAGACACGGCCCAAACUCCUACGGGAGGCAGCAGUAGGGAAUUUUCGGCAAUGGAGGAAACUCUGACCGAGCAACGCCGCGUGAAUGACGAAGUACUUCGGUAUGUAAAGUUCUUUUAUCAAGGAAGAAAAGCAAAUGGCGAACCAUUUGUUUGCCGGUACUUGAUGAAUAAGCCCCGGCUAAUUAUGUGCCAGCAGCCGCGGUAAGACAUAAGGGGCAAGUGUUAUCCGGAAUUAUUGGGCGUAAAGGGUGCGUAGGCGGUCUAGUAAGUCAGUGGUGUAAUGGCAACGCUUAACGUUGUCCGGCUAUUGAAACUACUAAACUUGAGUUAGAUAGAGGCGAGUGGAAUUCCAUGUGUAGCGGUAAAAUGCGUAAAUAUAUGGAGGAACACCAGAGGCGUAGGCGGCUCGCUGGGUCUUAACUGACGCUGAGGCACGAAAGCGUGGGGAGCAAACAGGAUUAGAUACCCUGGUAGUCCACGCCGUAAACGAUGAGUACUAAGUGUCGGGUUAAACCGGUACUGAAGUUAACACAUUAAGUACUCCGCCUGAGUAGUACGUACGCAAGUAUGAAACUUAAAGGAAUUGACGGGACUCCGCACAAGCGGUGGAUCAUGUUGUUUAAUUCGAAGAUACCCGAAAAACCUUACCAGGUCUUGACAUGUUUUUGCGAAAUGAUAGUAAUAUCGUGGAGGUUACCAGAAACACAGGUGGUGCAUGGUUGUCGUCAGCUUGUGUCGUGAGAUGUUAGGUUAAGUCCUAAAACGAGCGAAACCCUUAUCGUUAGUUGCCAGCACGUUAUGGUGGGGACUUUAACGAGACUGCCAAUGAUAAAUUGGAGGAAGGUGAGGAUCACGUCAAAUCAGCAUGCCCCUUAUGACCUGGGCUACAAACGUGAUACAAUGGCUGUUACAAAGGGUAGCUGAAACGCAAGUUCUUGGCCAAUCCCCAAAAACAGUCCCAGUCCGGAUUGAAGUCUGCAACUCGACUUCAUGAAGUUGGAAUCGCUAGUAAUCGCGAAUCAGCAUGUCGCGGUGAAUACGUUCUCGGGGUUUGUACACACCGCCCGUCAAACCACGAAAGUUGGCAAUACCCCAAAACGGUAGCCUAACUCGUUUAUUCGAGAGGGCGCCGUCUAAGGUAGGGUCGAUGAUUGGGGUUAAGUCGCAACAAGGUAUCCCUACCGGAAGGUGGGGAUGGAUCA